rnacentral:rRNA from 1 species
UACGAAGGGGGCUAGCGUUGCUCGGAAUUACUGGGCGUAAAGGGCGCGUAGGCGGCACUGUUAGUCAGGCGUGAAAUUCCUGGGCUCAACCUGGGGACUGCGCUUGAUACGGCAGAGCUUGAGGAUGGAAGAGGGUCGCGGAAUUCCCAGUGUAGAGGUGAAAUUCGUAGAUAUUGGGAAGAACACUGGUGGCGAAGGCGGCGACCUGGUCCAUUACUGACGCUGAGGCGCGACAGCGUGGGGAGCAAACAGG